rnacentral:lncRNA from 1 species
AUGUCUUCUGAAAAUACUGGUGUAGUUUGCUGAAACUAUUUUUGGUUUUGGUUAUGUUCGUUGGAGUCUGCUAUUUAGUUUUGGUUUUAGUUAGUACUGACUCUUGAGUUUAAAGAGUCAUUUUUGUCAGAACCUGCUGGGUUUUUUUUUGUUUUGCUUAGGUGGUGUUUUGUCUAUAGCAUCACCUCAGUUAUUUCCUUUUACUGAAACUACACGUGUGAAAGUUUAUCUAAUUAUAUUUAGUGUGGCUAUACUAACUCAUAGUUUAAUAACAUCAAUAGCUCAGAGUAUGUGAUAGUUAUCUAGACAUAAAUGUACUAAAAGCACUAGCAAAUAUAACUUCAUUCUAUGUGCAUAUUAUCUGCAGGGUUAUGCAUAUAUACUCACGCAGCCCGGAAUACCUUCCGUUUUCUAUGACCACUUCUAUGGUUCGGGUGAUUCAAUUCAUGAUCAGAUUGUGAAACUGGUACAGUAGUGUAGCUAGGUAGUUCCUGUAUUAACUUGUGUCUAGUAGAUUCUUCAUUCAUUAAGCAUUUGGACUUGUCUGCAGAUUCAGAUUAGUAGAUAUGGGACAUUUUGAACUGAUCGAUGCUCAUG